UUUACGGAGAGUUUGAUCCUGGCUCAGGAUGAACGCUGGCGGCGUGCUUAACACAUGCAAGUCGAACGGUGAAAGCGGAGCUUGCUCUGCUGGAUCAGUGGCGAACGGGUGAGUAACACGUGAGCAAUCUGCCCCUGACUCUGGGAUAAGCGCUGGAAACGGCGUCUAAUACUGGAUACGAGCUGCGAAGGCAUCUUCAGCAGCUGGAAAGAAAUUCGGUCAGGGAUGAGCUCGCGGCCUAUCAGCUUGUUGGUGAGGUAACGGCUCACCAAGGCGUCGACGGGUAGCCGGCCUGAGAGGGUGACCGGCCACACUGGGACUGAGACACGGCCCAGACUCCUACGGGAGGCAGCAGUGGGGA
rnacentral:ncRNA from 1 species